GGUGGAUUAGUGGCGAACGGGUGAGUAACACGUGAGUAACCUGCCCCCGACUUUGGGAUAAGCCCGGGAAACUGGGUCUAAUACCGGAUAUGACUUCCUGCCGCAUGGUGGGUUGUUGAAAGAUUUAUCGGUGGGGGAUGGACUCGCGGCCUAUCAGCUUGUUGGUGAGGUAAUGGCUCACCAAGGCGACGACGGGUAGCCGGCCUGAGAGGGUGACCGGCCACACUGGGACUGAGACACGGCCCAGACUCCUACGGGAGGCAGCAGUGGGGAAUAUUGCACAAUGGGCGGAAGCCUGAUGCAGCGACGCCGCGUGAGGGAUGACGGCCUUCGGGUUGUAAACCUCUUUCAGUAGGGAAGAAGCGAAAGUGACGGUACCUGCAGAAGAAGCGCCGGCUAACUACGUGCCAGCAGCCGCGGUAAUACGUAGGGCGCAAGCGUUAUCCGGAUUUAUUGGGCGUAAAGAGCUCGUAGGCGGUUUGUCGCGUCUGCCGUGAAAGUCCGAGGCUCAACCUCGGAUCUGCGGUGGGUACGGGCAGACUAGAGUGAUGUAGGGGAGACUGGAAUUCCUGGUGUAGCGGUGAAAUGCGCAGAUAUCAGGAGGAACACCGAUGGCGAAGGCAGGUCUCUGGGCAUUUACUGACGCUGAGG
rnacentral:rRNA from 1 species